rnacentral:rRNA from 1 species
AUGGCUGUGAUUGAAAUGGACAGUUCAAUUGAGAAGCCUCAAGCUGGUGGGAAGAAUGAAGCUGGCAGUUCAGCGGAGAAGGCACAAUCUGGUGGGGAGAAAGUGAAGGGUGACAGGAAAAGCAAGAAGAAAACGUUGGGGAAGGGAAGUUCUGCUGUUCUCGCUCUGCUUAGGGAGCAUGCUACAGAUGGAAAAGCCGUCCCUUGUGUGAAUUCCGCGUUGAUUGCAGAUUGGGGAAUUGAGCUGUCUCUGUUGUUUGAUCCUAAGUGCCCCAAAUUGGAGUCCCUUGUGGAGAAAAUCAAGGAGAUUGUUGAGAGCAAUGAAGUGGGAAGAUUGCCUAAAAUUCCCAAGGGAACACGUGACUUUGGGAGAGAGCAAAUGGCCAUAAGGGAGCGUGCGUUUUCAAUAAUUACAAGUGUAUUUAAGAUGCACGGUGGUGUUGCACUUGAUACCCCUGUAUUCGAGUUGAGAGAAACCUUGAUGGGCAAAUAUGGUGAAGACUCGAAGUUGGUAUAUGACCUUGCUGAUCAGGGUGGUGAGCUUUGUUCGUUGCGCUAUGAUCUGACUGUUCCAUUUGCCCGUUAUGUUGCCAUGAAUAACAUAAGUGCCAUCAAGAGAUACCAGAUAGCCAAAGUAUACAGGAGAGACAACCCAUCAAAGGGAAGAUAUCGAGAAUUCUACCAGUGUGACUUCGACAUUGCCGGAGUAUAUGAGCCUAUGGAACCAGAUUUCGAGGUUGUCAAAGUUUUGACUGAAUUACUGGAUAAGUUGGAUAUUGGCGUCUAUGAGAUAAAGUUAAAUCACAGAAAGUUACUUGAUGGAAUGUUGGAGAUCUGUGGCGUGCCUGCUGAGAAAUUCAGAACAGUUUGCUCAAGUAUUGACAAGCUAGACAAACUAACCUUUGAAGAGGUGAAAAAAGAACUGGUGGAAGAGAAAGGUGUAUCAAAUGAAACAGCUGAAAAUAUUGGCAGUUUAGUGAAGACAAAAGGACCUCCACUAGAAGUUUUGCUAGAGUUGCGAAAGGAGGGCAGCAAGUUCAUGGAGAACGAGGGAUCUGUUGUUGCAUUAAAUGAGCUUGAGAUAUUAUUCAAAGCUCUAGAAAAAGCGAAUGCCCUUGACAGGAUAAGUUUUGAUUUAAGCCUUGCUAGAGGCCUUGAUUACUACACUGGUGUGAUAUAUGAAGCUGUGUUCAAGGGCGUUACACAGGUUGGCUCUAUUGCUGCUGGUGGCAGGUACGACAAGCUUGUCGGCAUGUUCAGCAACAAGCAAGUCCCUGCUGUUGGCGUCAGCCUUGGAAUAGAAAGAGUUUUCGCAAUCAUGGAGCAACAGGAGAAAGAAAAGAACCAGGUGAUCCGGGCCACUGAGACAGAGGUUUUGGUGUCGAUUCUGGGCAAGGACCUCAUAUUGGCCGCCGAGCUUGUGAACGAGCUGUGGAGUGCUGGGAUAAAGGCAGAGUUCAAGCUCACUACCAGGGUGCAGAACCACAUAAAGUAUGCGACGCAGACAUGCAUCCCGUGGAUGGUGCUGGUCGGCGAGUCCGAGUUGAGGGACGGGAAGGUGAAACUGAAGGACAUUAGGGCUAACCAGGAAGAGGAGGUUCCAAGGAAAGAUUUCGUUGAGGUGCUGAAGCAGAGAUUAUCUAACCCUUAG